AGUUCGGAUUGGAGCUGCAACCCGACUCCAUGAAGCUGGAUUCGCUAGUAAUCGCGCAUCAGCCACGGCGCGGUGAAUACGUUCCCGGGCCUUGUACACACCGCCCGUCAAGCCAUGGGAGCCGGGGGUACCUGAAGUGCGUGACCGCAAGGAGCGCCCUAAGGUAAAACCGGUGACUGGGGCUAAGUCGUAACAAGGUAAC
rnacentral:rRNA from 1 species